rnacentral:tRNA from 1 species
GGAGAUGUAGCUCAGUGGUAGAGCACUUGCCUAGCAUGCAUGAGGACCUGGGUUCAAUCCCCAGAACUCUC